UACGUAGGGUGCAAGCGUUGUCCGGAAUUAUUGGGCGUAAAGAGCUCGUAGGCGGUUUGUCGCGUCGAAUGUGAAAUCCCGGGGCUCAACCCCGGGUCUGCAUUCGAUACGGGCAGACUAGAGUUCGGUAGGGGAGUCUGGAAUUCCUGGUGUAGCGGUGAAAUGCGCAGAUAUCAGGAGGAACACCGGUGGCGAAGGCGGGACUCUGGGCCGAUACUGACGCUGAGGCACGAAAGCGUGGGGAGCAAACAGG
rnacentral:rRNA from 1 species